GGACAGGACAGAUGAGGCAGAAGGGGAGGUUAGGGAGGUUUGAAGAGUGAGAAGAACUUCUGCAGUGGCUGACUUGGAAGAUGAAGGAGGUUAUGAACCAGGGAAUGGGGGCAGCCUCUAGAGGCUGAGAACCUGCUGACACCUACCCACAACCGCUAAGGAAAUGAAGACUUUAAUUCCACAACUGCAUGCAACUAAACUCAGCCAACAACCUGAAUAAGUCGGAAAAAGGCUUCUCCAGAGCCUCCAGAUAAGAGGCCAGGCUGGCGACACCUUGAUUUUGACCUUGUGAGACCUAGAGCAGAGAAACUAGCCAAGAUCACUCAGACUUCUGAUCUACAGAACUGUGAGACCGUAAAUUUAUGUUGUAUUAAGCCACUAAUUGCGUGGGAAUUUGUUACAGGAGCAAUAGAAAAUGAAUACACCUUCUGAUGUAGUUUAAUCAGUUGACAUUAGGGGUGACACCAAGAUGUGCUACACUGAACCCAACUUCUGCAUGUUUAAGACAAGAAUGUGCAUCUUUAUUUUUCCUGAAUAUUUCUAUUGUCUAAAUACCUUAGUAAAGUUUACUGCUUCUACGGAUGGCCUAAAAGUUCUGGCAAUGAAAGAAGUAAAGUGUGAAUUUGAAAUGAUUUUUUCAUUUCAACUUUGUUGUAUGUUGUAGACGCAAGGUCAAAAAUUUACAUCAGGUAUCUGAAUGUGUAGCAUAUACAACUGAGUGUUGAAAGAAGACAAAAUCGUUUUCAUCACGAAGAAUAUGUGCUCAGUAAGAAUCAGAAUGUUCAAUUGUGUGAAGGUGGGAGAUGGGAAGAUUGGUAUUAUGGCCUGGAUCCAGAAAUCAGUCUUCCACUAUAGGAAAUGGGAAUUUAAAGAUGAUCAGAAGACAGUUGGGAGCAGAGUGAGAAUAAGAACCCUCAACUGCUGUCUCACCUUUCAGAUCACGAAGAAGUUUUUUACAAUGAGCAGAACACUCAACCUGAAAGCAGAAUGGAUUGAGUCACUGCAGCGUGGCAGUGGAAUGGUGUUUGAUGUUGGCAAAGGAAACAUGUACUUCUAGACUGGACAGUUUUCCCUUAGUUUACAGUUUCCAAAUAGAGACAUCACUUUGAAAUAACAUGGAGAACAUACAUGGAUGUACUGAACGAAGAAUAAAGUCUGUGUUGCAGUCCUGUC
rnacentral:lncRNA from 1 species